AAUGUUCCACCACCAAGAUCAUAUAC
rnacentral:sRNA from 1 species